rnacentral:rRNA from 1 species
GACAGAGGGUGCAAACGUUGCUCGGAAUUACUGGGCGUAAAGGGCGCGUAGGCGGUUCGUUAAGUCCUGUGUGAAAUCCCCCGGCUCAACUGGGGAACUGCACAGGAAACUAGCGGGCUUGAGUUCGGGAGAGGGAAGCGGAAUUCCGGGUGUAGCGGUGAAAUGCGUAGAUAUCGGGAGGAACACCAGUGGCGAAGGCGACUUCCUGGCCUGUUCUUGACGCUGAGGCGCGAAAGCUAGGGGAGCAAACGGG